CACCGCGGUCAUACAGGAGACCCAAAUUAACUUUAUAACGGCGUAAAGGGUGGUAACAUGCUAUCAAAAUAACUAAGAUUAAAAAGCAACUGAGCCGUCAUAAGCCCAAGAUGCUCAUAAGGCCAACUCCAAAAGAAGAUCUUAGCCCAAUGAUUAAUUGAAAUCCACGAAAGCCAGGGCC
rnacentral:rRNA from 1 species